UGUAGCUGGCCUCCCGGGGCACGUGCACGCCCGAGCCCUUAAUCCACACACACCUGUGAACCUAUUGUAAGGGCCCGUGAAAAGGCCUUUACGUUUUAUCAUCAACCCACUGUAUGUCUCAUAGAAUGUAAAUCUAUAUCCUCGCCCUAAAAAGCGUUGAUAAAACUUAUACAACUUUCAACAACGGAUCUCUUGGCUCUCGCAUCGAUGAAGAACGCAGCGAAAUGCGAUAAGUAAUGUGAAUUGCAGAUUUUCAGUGAAUCAUCGAAUCUUUGAACGCACCUUGCGCUCCUUGGUAUUCCGAGGAGCAUGCCUGUUUGAGUGUCAUUAAAUUCUCAACUCCGAUCGAUUUGUUUCGACUUCGGAGCUUGGACAUGGAGCGUGCCGGCGUCGGUCGGCUCCUCUUAAAUGCAUCAGCGGAAUCUAACGUUUUGGAUGUCAGUGUGAUAAUCAUGUUGCGCUGUCCUCCGAUCCGAAAAGCCCGCUCACAAUGGUCUUCGGACGACUUCAUAUCAAAUUUGACCUCAAAUCAGGUAGGACUACCCGCUGAACUUAAGCAUAUC
rnacentral:rRNA from 1 species